rnacentral:rRNA from 1 species
GGUUAAGCGACUAAGCGUACACGGUGGAUGCCCUGGCAGUCAGAGGCGAUGAAGGACGUGCUAAUCUGCGAUAAGCGUCGGUAAGGUGAUAUGAACCGUUAUAACCGGCGAUUUCCGAAUGGGGAAACCCAGUGUGUUUCGACACACUAUCAUUAACUGAAUCCAUAGGUUAAUGAGGCGAACCGGGGGAACUGAAACAUCUAAGUACCCCGAGGAAAAGAAAUCAACCGAGAUUCCCCCAGUAGCGGCGAGCGAACGGGGAGCAGCCCAGAGCCUGAAUCAGUGUGUGUGUUAGUGGAAGCGUCUGGAAAGGCGCGCGAUACAGGGUGACAGCCCCGUACACAAAAAUGCACAUGCUGUGAGCUCGAUGAGUAGGGCGGGACACGUGGUAUCCUGUCUGAAUAUGGGGGGACCAUCCUCCAAGGCUAAAUACUCCUGACUGACCGAUAGUGAACCAGUACCGUGAGGGAAAGGCGAAAAGAACCCCGGCGAGGGGAGUGAAAAAGAACCUGAAACCGUGUACGUACAAGCAGUGGGAGCACGCUUAGGCGUGUGACUGCGUACCUUUUGUAUAAUGGGUCAGCGACUUAUAUUCUGUAGCAAGGUUAACCGAAUAGGGGAGCCGAAGGGAAACCGAGUCUUAACUGGGCGUUAAGUUGCAGGGUAUAGACCCGAAACCCGGUGAUCUAGCCAUGGGCAGGUUGAAGGUUGGGUAACACUAACUGGAGGACCGAACCGACUAAUGUUGAAAAAUUAGCGGAUGACUUGUGGCUGGGGGUGAAAGGCCAAUCAAACCGGGAGAUAGCUGGUUCUCCCCGAAAGCUAUUUAGGUAGCGCCUCGUGAAUUCAUCUCCGGGGGUAGAGCACUGUUUCGGCAAGGGGGUCAUCCCGACUUACCAACCCGAUGCAAACUGCGAAUACCGGAGAAUGUUAUCACGGGAGACACACGGCGGGUGCUAACGUCCGUCGUGAAGAGGGAAACAACCCAGACCGCCAGCUAAGGUCCCAAAGUCAUGGUUAAGUGGGAAACGAUGUGGGAAGGCCCAGACAGCCAGGAUGUUGGCUUAGAAGCAGCCAUCAUUUAAAGAAAGCGUAAUAGCUCACUGGUCGAGUCGGCCUGCGCGGAAGAUGUAACGGGGCUAAACCAUGCACCGAAGCUGCGGCAGCGACGCUUAUGCGUUGUUGGGUAGGGGAGCGUUCUGUAAGCCUGUGAAGGUGUACUGUGAGGUAUGCUGGAGGUAUCAGAAGUGCGAAUGCUGACAUAAGUAACGAUAAAGCGGGUGAAAAGCCCGCUCGCCGGAAGACCAAGGGUUCCUGUCCAACGUUAAUCGGGGCAGGGUGAGUCGACCCCUAAGGCGAGGCCGAAAGGCGUAGUCGAUGGGAAACAGGUUAAUAUUCCUGUACUUGGUGUUACUGCGAAGGGGGGACGGAGAAGGCUAUGUUGGCCGGGCGACGGUUGUCCCGGUUUAAGCGUGUAGGCUGGUUUUCCAGGCAAAUCCGGAAAAUCAAGGCUGAGGCGUGAUGACGAGGCACUACGGUGCUGAAGCAACAAAUGCCCUGCUUCCAGGAAAAGCCUCUAAGCAUCAGGUAACAUCAAAUCGUACCCCAAACCGACACAGGUGGUCAGGUAGAGAAUACCAAGGCGCUUGAGAGAACUCGGGUGAAGGAACUAGGCAAAAUGGUGCCGUAACUUCGGGAGAAGGCACGCUGAUAUGUAGGUGAAGCGACUUGCUCGUGGAGCUGAAAUCAGUCGAAGAUACCAGCUGGCUGCAACUGUUUAUUAAAAACACAGCACUGUGCAAACACGAAAGUGGACGUAUACGGUGUGACGCCUGCCCGGUGCCGGAAGGUUAAUUGAUGGGGUUAGCGCAAGCGAAGCUCUUGAUCGAAGCCCCGGUAAACGGCGGCCGUAACUAUAACGGUCCUAAGGUAGCGAAAUUCCUUGUCGGGUAAGUUCCGACCUGCACGAAUGGCGUAAUGAUGGCCAGGCUGUCUCCACCCGAGACUCAGUGAAAUUGAACUCGCUGUGAAGAUGCAGUGUACCCGCGGCAAGACGGAAAGACCCCGUGAACCUUUACUAUAGCUUGACACUGAACAUUGAGCCUUGAUGUGUAGGAUAGGUGGGAGGCUUUGAAGUGUGGACGCCAGUCUGCAUGGAGCCGACCUUGAAAUACCACCCUUUAAUGUUUGAUGUUCUAACGUUGACCCGUAAUCCGGGUUGCGGACAGUGUCUGGUGGGUAGUUUGACUGGGGCGGUCUCCUCCUAAAGAGUAACGGAGGAGCACGAAGGUUGGCUAAUCCUGGUCGGACAUCAGGAGGUUAGUGCAAUGGCAUAAGCCAGCUUGACUGCGAGCGUGACGGCGCGAGCAGGUGCGAAAGCAGGUCAUAGUGAUCCGGUGGUUCUGAAUGGAAGGGCCAUCGCUCAACGGAUAAAAGGUACUCCGGGGAUAACAGGCUGAUACCGCCCAAGAGUUCAUAUCGACGGCGGUGUUUGGCACCUCGAUGUCGGCUCAUCACAUCCUGGGGCUGAAGUAGGUCCCAAGGGUAUGGCUGUUCGCCAUUUAAAGUGGUACGCGAGCUGGGUUUAGAACGUCGUGAGACAGUUCGGUCCCUAUCUGCCGUGGGCGCUGGAGAACUGAGGGGGGCUGCUCCUAGUACGAGAGGACCGGAGUGGACGCAUCACUGGUGUUCGGGUUGUCAUGCCAAUGGCACUGCCCGGUAGCUAAAUGCGGAAGAGAUAAGUGCUGAAAGCAUCUAAGCACGAAACUUGCCCCGAGAUGAGUUCUCCCUGACUCCUUGAGAGUCCUGAAGGAACGUUGAAGACGACGACGUUGAUAGGCCGGGUGUGUAAGCGCAGCGAUGCGUUGAGCUAACCGGUACUAAUGAACCGUGAGGCUUAACCUU